CCUACGGUGCGCUUCAGUGGGGAAUAUUUCACAAUGGGGGAAACCCUGAUGCAGCGACGCCGCGUGCGUGAAGAAGUAAUUCGUUAUGUCAAGCUCUAUUAGCAGGGAAGAACAUGACGGUACCUGAGUAAGAAGCACCGGCUAACUACUUGACAGCAGCCGCGGUAAUAGGUAGGGGGCAAGCGGUAUCCGGAUUGACUGGGUGUAUCGGGAUCGUAGACGGUAGUGCAAGUCUUGAGGGAAAGGCUGGGGGUCAAACCCCGGACUGCUCGGGAGACUGUACGGCUAGAGUGCAGUAGAGGUAAGUGGAAUUCCUAGUGGAGCGGUGAAAUGCGGAGAUAUAAGGAAGAACACCAGAGGCGAAGGCAGCUUACUGGACUGUUACUGACGUUGAGGCUCGAAAGCGUGGGGAGCAAACAGGAUUAGAUACCCGAGUAGUC
rnacentral:rRNA from 1 species